UACCAGCACCCCGAGUGGUCGGGACGUUUUAUUGGGCCGUAAAGCAUCCGUAGCCGGUUCUACAAGUCUUCCGUUAAAUCCAACUGCUUAACAGGUGGGCUGCGGAAGAUACUAUAGAGCUAGGAGGCGGGAGAGGCAAGCGGUACUCGAUGGGUAGGGGUAAAAUCCGUUGAUCCAUUGAAGACCACCAGUGGCGAAGGCGGCUUGCCAGAACGCGCUCGACGGUGAGGGAUGAAAGCUGGGGGAGCAAACCGGG
rnacentral:rRNA from 1 species